rnacentral:rRNA from 1 species
AUUGAACGCUGGCGGCAUGCUUUACACAUGCAAGUCGAACGGUAACAGGCCGCAAGGUGCUGACGAGUGGCGAACGGGUGAGUAAUGCAUCGGAACGUGCCCAGUCGUGGGGGAUAACUACUCGAAAGAGUAGCUAAUACCGCAUACGAUCUAUGGAUGAAAGCGGGGGACCGUAAGGCCUCGCGCGAUUGGAGCGGCCGAUGGCAGAUUAGGUAGUUGGUGGGGUAAAGACUCACCAAGCCAACGAUCUGUAGCUGGUCUGAGAGGACGACCAUCCACACUGGAACUGAGACUCGCAAAAGCGUCAUACGGACGGCAGCAGUGGGGAAUUUUGGACAAUGGGCGCAAGCCUGAUCCAGCAAAGCCGCGUGCAGAAAGCAGACCUUCGGGUUGUAAAAUGCUUUUGUACGGAACGAAACGGCUCUGGUUAAUACCGGAAGCUAAUGACGGUCCCGUAAGAAUAAGCACCGGCUAACUACGUG